rnacentral:rRNA from 1 species
GAUGAACGCUGGCGGCGUGCCUAAUACAUGCAAGUCGAGCGAACAGACGAGGAGCUUGCUCCUCUGACGUUAGCGGCGGACGGGUGAGUAACACGUGGAUAACCUACCUCUAAGACUGGGAUAACUUCGGGAAACCGGAGCUAAUACCGGAUAAUAUAUUCAACCGCAUGGUUCAAUAGUGAAAGACGGUUUUGCUGUCACUUUUAGAUGGAUCCGCGCCGCAUUAGCUAGUUGGUAAGGUAACGGCUUACCAAGGCGACGAUGCGUAGCCGACCUGAGAGGGUGAUCGGCCACACUGGAACUGAGACACGGUCCAGACUCCUACGGGAGGCAGCAGUAGGGAAUCUUCCACAAUGGGCGAAAGCCUGACGGAGCAACGCCGCGUGAGUGAUGAAGGUCUUCGGAUCGUAAAACUCUGUUAUUAGGGAAGAACAAAUGUGUAAGUAACUAUGCACGUCUUGACGGUACCUAAUCAGAAAGCCACGGCUAACUACGUG